rnacentral:rRNA from 1 species
AUCGAACGCUGGCGGCAGGCCUAACACAUGCAAGUCGAACGAACUCUUCGGACUUGGUGGCGGACUGGUGAGUAACCCGUUGGAACGUGCCUUUUGGUUCGGCAUAACUCAGGGAAACUUGUCCUAAUACCGGAUGUGCUCUUCGAUGGAAAGGUUUGUCGCCAUUAGAGCGGCCCGCGUCUGAUUAGCUAGUUGUUGAGGUAACUGCUCACCACUGCUAGGAUCAGUAGCUGGUUAGCGAGGCUGACCAGAGACACUGGGACGGAGACACGGCCCAGACUACUACGGGAGGGAGGAGUGGGGAAUCUUGCGAAAUGGGCGAAAGGCUGAAGCAGCCAGGCAGGGUGAAUGAUGAAGGUCGGAGGAUUGGAAAAUUAUUUAACCGGGGACGAUAAUGACGGUACCAGGAGAAGAAGCCCCGGCUAACUUCGUG